rnacentral:rRNA from 1 species
GAUGAACGCUGGCGGCGUGCCUAAUACAUGCAAGUCGAGCGAACAGACGAGGAGCUUGUUCCUCUGACGUUAGCGGCGGACGGGUGAGUAACACGUGGAGAACCUACCUAUAAGACUGGGAUAACUUCGGGAAACCGGAGCUAAUACCGGAUAAAAUAUUUAACCACAUGGUUCAAUAGUGAAAGAUGGUUUUGCUUUCCCUUAUAGAUGUAUCCGCGCGGCAUUAGCUGGUUGGUAAGGUAACGGCUUACCAAGGCAACGAAGCGUAGCCGACCUGAGAGGGUGACCGGCAACACUGGAACUGAGACACGGUCAAGACUCCUACGGGAGGCAGCAGUAGGGAAUCUUCCGCAAUGGGCGAAAGCUUGACGGAGAAACGCGGCGUGAGUGAUGAAGGUUUUCGGAUCGUAAACCUCUGUUAUUAGGGAAGAACAAAUGUGUAAGUAACUAUGCACGUCUUGACGGUACCUAAUCAGAAAGCCACGGCUAACUACGUG